rnacentral:misc_RNA from 1 species
GAUGAAGAACGCAGCGAAAUGCGAUAAGUAAUGUGAAUUGCAGAAUUCAGUGAAUCAUCGAAUCUUUGAACGCACAUUGCGCCCCCUGGUAUUCCGGGGGGCAUGCCUGUUCGAGCGUCAUUUCACCACUCAAGCCUCGCUUGGUAUUGGGCAACGCGGUCCGCCGCGUGCCUCAAAUCGACCGGCUGGGUCUUCUGUCCCCUAAGCGUUGUGGAAACUUUCGCUAAAGGGUGUUCGGGAGGCUACGCCGUAAAACAACCCCAUUUCUAAGGUUGACCUCGGAUCAGGUAGGGAUACCCGCUGAACUUGAGCAUAUCAAUAAGCGGAGGA